CGAGAGUAACUGCUCNCACCUUGACGGUACCUAACCAGAAAGCCACGGCUAACUACGUGCCAGCAGCCGCGGUAAUACNUAGGUGGCAAGCGUUGUCCGGAAUUAUUGGGCGUAAAGGGCUCGCAGGCGGUUUCUUAAGUCUGAUGUGAAAGCCCCCGGCUCAACCGGGGAGGGUCAUUGGAAACUGGGAAACUUGAGUGCAGAAGAGGAGAGUGGAAUUCCACGUGUAGCGGUGAAAUGCGUAGAGAUGUGGAGGAACACCAGUGGCGAAGGCGACUCUCUGGUCUGUAACUGACGCUGAGGAGCGAAAGCGUGGGGAGCGAACAGGAUUAGAUACCCUGGUAGUCCACGCCGUAAACGAUGAGUGCUAAGUGUUAGGGGGUUUCCGCCCCUUAGUGCUGCAGCUAACGCAUUAAGCACUCCGCCUGGGGAGUACGGUCGCAAGACUGAAACUCAAAGGAAUUGACGGGGGCCCGCACAAGCGGUGGAGCAUGUGGUUUAAUUCGAAGCAACGCGAAGAACCUUACCAGGUCUUGACAUCCUCUGACAACCCUAGAGAUAGGGCUUUCCCUUCGGGGACAGAGUGACAGGUGGUGCAUGGUUGUCGUCAGCUCGUGUCGUGAGAUGUUGGGUUAAGUCCCGCAACGAGCGCAACCCUUGAUCUUAGUUGCCAGCAUUNAGUUGGGCACUCUAAGGUGACUGCCGGUGACAAACCGGAGGAAGGUGGGGAUGACGUCAAAUCAUCAUGCCCCUUAUGACCUGGGCUACACNCGUGCUACAAUGGACAGAACAAAGGGCUGCAAGACCGCAAGGNUUAGCCAAUCCCAUAAAUCUGUUCUCAGU
rnacentral:rRNA from 1 species